AUUGAACGCUGGCGGCAGGCCUAACACAUGCAAGUCGAACGAGUGGCGGACGGGUGAGUAAUGUCUGGGAAACUGCCCGCUGGAGGGGGAUAACUACUGGAAACGGUAGCUAAUACCGCAUACCAUCGGAUGUGCCCAGAUGGGAUUAGCUAGUAGGUGGGGUAACGGCUCACCUAGGCGACGAUCCCUAGCUGGUCUGAGAGGAUGACAAGCCACACUGGAACAGAGACACGGUCCAGACUCCUACGGGAGGCAGCAGUGGGGAAUAUUGCACAAUGGGCGCAAGCGUGAUGCAGCCAUGCAGCGUGGAUGAAGAAGGCCUUCGGGUUGUAAAGUACUUUUAGCGAGGAGGCGUUACUCGCAGAAGAAGCACCGGCUAACUCCGUGCCAGCAGCCGCGGUAAUAC
rnacentral:rRNA from 1 species